ACACAACGCAGAGAUACAUAAAUAGAGAAAACGGAUAUAAUUUGCUUAUUAUCUGAUUACCAGCUCUGCACAGCGGACUUGUAACACUAGCAGCAGUGGAGAUGGAGCAUCAGAACCUGGAGAAUACAGCAACAACAACAAGGAUCCAUUUGAAGAUAGCUGCUUGGGCCUAGCAGCAAGAACCUCCAUCUGUGCCUGCACCCAGGUCAAGAUCUACCGUGGCUCAAGGGCCUUCACCAGAGCCAUCACCACCAAGGACCAGAGGACCAGCAUCACUACAGCAGCCUCCAUCUCCAUCUGUGCCUGCCACAAGAUUAAGAUACACCUCGGUACAAAGGCCUCCACCACAGCCAUCACGAUCAACCCAGCCAGCAAAGAAGUCUCGCCUAGCACACCUCCCUCCCGCCGACACAGCCACCAGCAGCCCAUGCACCAUCACCCCCACCUACACAGCAGCCAGACCCACUGUCUUGGAAGACAGACAAAGACCAUGGUACUGCUCCCCCUGUCUUUACAUUUAUAAUGAAUAGUUGGUUGAGAAAGUUCUGAUAUUGUCAGGGUUCGUACAGUCAUUAAAAACCUGAAAAAGUCAUGGAAUGCAAUAUUUUCCUCAAAGUUUAGGAAAAGUCAUGGAAAUAUAACUAAAGUUGCAUCAAAUAUAAUUUAUAUGUUAUCUAAUCGCCGACAUAGUAAUACUAUAAUGAUAAAUACUGUAUCGUAUAAUGAAACGUAAAAUGGCAACUGUGGCAGUAUUUCGCUGGUGAGAGAUGUUUACAAUCACGCCCUCUAGUCUACAGGAGCUACUAUUUGAUAUAAAGAUGCCAGGGAAGUGCAGUUUCAACAAUGUAUGGCUUCUAAAGAAUAAGUACCAAUUGUGGUUAUCAAAAGACAUUGACCCAAGAUGUGCUAAAUGCAAACUGUGUUGUAACAUAUUCAAUAUUUCGAAUAUGGGCG